GGGCCCUUAGCUCAUCUGGUAGAGCACCUCGUUUGCACCGAGGAGGUGACCGGUCCGAUCCCGGUAGGGUCCACCA
rnacentral:tRNA from 1 species